GAUGAACGCUGGCGGCGUGCCUAAUACAUGCAAGUCGAGCGAACAGACGAGGAGCUUGCUCCUCUGACGUUAGCGGCGGACGGGUGAGUAACACGUGGAUAACCUACCUAUAAGACUGGGAUAACUUCGGGAAACCGGAGCUAAUACCGGAUAAUAUAUUGAACCGCAUGGUUCAAUAGUGAAAGACGGUUUUGCUGUCACUUAUAGAUGGAUCCGCGCCGCAUUAGCUAGUUGGUAAGGUAACGGCUUACCAAGGCAUCGAUGCGUAGCCGACCUGAGAGGGUGAUCGGCCACACUGGAACUGAGACACGGUCCAGACUCCUACGGGAGGCAGCAGUAGGGAAUCUUCCGCAAUGGGCGAAAGCCUGACGGAGCAACGCCGCGUGAGUGAUGAAGGUCUUCGGAUCGUAAAACUCUGUUAUUAGGGAAGAACAAAUGUGUAAGUAACUAUGCCCGUCUUGACGGUACCUAAUCAGAAAGCAACGGCUAACUACGUG
rnacentral:rRNA from 1 species